rnacentral:lncRNA from 1 species
CCAAAAUACCAUCACACUAACAAAUCCAUAAUCUACUCCUUAAUACGAGUAUAAUGGUACCCAUAUUGCACUAUUGUGCUUCAGAUUCAAAAAUGACACCAAAAACUCCAAGGGGUCCCACAUAUAGAAAAUGAGUUUCCGAGGACAACCCAAUGCUCACAUAUGAACAAGGAAUCAUAACCCUCAAAGAAUGGGUGAAAACUAAGCAUACUUUGGG